AGGAGGAGCUUGCUUCUCUGGAUGAGUUGCGAACGGGUGAGUAACGCGUAGGUAACCUGCCUGGUAGCGGGGGAUAACUAUUGGAAACGAUAGCUAAUACCGCAUAAUAGCAGUUGUUGCAUGACAGCUGUUUGAAAGGUGCAAUUGCACCACUACCAGAUGGACCUGCGUUGUAUUAGCUAGUUGGUGGGGUAACGGCUCACCAAGGCGACGAUACAUAGCCGACCUGAGAGGGUGAUCGGCCACACUGGGACUGAGACACGGCCCAGACUCCUACGGGAGGCAGCAGUAGGGAAUCUUCGGCAAUGGACGGAAGUCUGACCGAGCAACGCCGCGUGAGUGAAGAAGGUUUUCGGAUCGUAAAGCUCUGUUGUAAGAGAAGAACGAGUGUGAGAGUGGAAAGUUCACACUGUGACGGUAUCUUACCAGAAAGGGACGGCUAACUACGUGCCAGCAGCCGCGGUAAUACGUAGGUCCCGAGCGUUGUCCGGAUUUAUUGGGCGUAAAGCGAGCGCAGGCGGUUAGAUAAGUCUGAAGUUAAAGGCUGUGGCUUAACCAUAGUACGCUUUGGAAACUGUUUAACUUGAGUGCAAGAGGGGAGAGUGGAAUUCCAUGUGUAGCGGUGAAAUGCGUAGAUAUAUGGA
rnacentral:rRNA from 1 species